UACGUAGGUGGCAAGCGUUGUCCGGAUUUACUGGGCGUAAAGAGCGCGCAGGCGGUCGUUCAAGUCGCGUGUGAAAGCCCCCGGCUCAACUGGGGAGGGUCACGCGAUACUGAUCGACUCGAAGGCAGGAGAGGGUAGUGGAAUUCCCGGUGUAGUGGUGAAAUGCGUAGAUAUCGGGAGGAACACCAGUGCGAAGGCGGCUCUCUGGGCAGAUACGUGACGCUGAGACGCGAAAGCAUGGGGAGCAAACAGG
rnacentral:rRNA from 1 species